GACGAACGCUGGCGGCGUGCUUAACACAUGCAAGUCGAACGGAAAGGCCCUGCUUUUGUGGGGUGCUCGAGUGGCGAACGGGUGAGUAACACGUGAGUAACCUGCCCUUGACUUUGGGAUAACUUCAGGAAACUGGGGCUAAUACCGGAUAGGAGCUCCUGCUGCAUGGUGGGGGUUGGAAAGCUUCGGCGGUUGGGGAUGGACUCGCGGCUUAUCAGCUUGUUGGUGGGGUAGUGGCUUACCAAGGCUUUGACGGGUAGCCGGCCUGAGAGGGUGACCGGCCACAUUGGGACUGAGAUACGGCCCAGACUCCUACGGGAGGCAGCAGUGGGGAAUAUUGCACAAUGGGCGGAAGCCUGAUGCAGCAACGCCGCGUGCGGGAUGACGGCCUUCGGGUUGUAAACCGCUUUCGCCUGUGACGAAGCGUGAGUGACGGUAAUGGGUAAAGAAGCACCGGCUAACUACGUGCCAGCAGCCGCGGUGAUACGUAGGGUGCGAGCGUUGUCCGGAUUUAUUGGGCGUAAAGGGCUCGUAGGUGGUUGAUCGCGUCGGAAGUGUAAUCUUGGGGCUUAACCCUGAGCGUGCUUUCGAUACGGGUUGACUUGAGGAAGGUAGGGGAGAAUGGAAUUCCUGGUGGAGCGGUGGAAUGCGCAGAUAUCAGGAGGAACACCAGUGGCGAAGGCGGUUCUCUGGGCCUUUCCUGACGCUGAGGAGCAAAAGCGUGGGGAGCGAACAGGCUUAGAUACCCUGGUAGUCCACGCUGUAAACGGUGGGUACUAGGUGUGGGGUCCAUUCCACGGGUUCCGUGCCGUAGCUAACGCUUUAAGUACCCCGCCUGGGGAGUACGGCCGCAAGGCUAAAACUCAAAGGAAUUGACGGGGCCCCGCACAAGCGGCGGAGCAUGCGGAUUAAUUCGAUGCAACGCGUAGAACCUUACCUGGGUUUGACAUGGAUCGGGAGUGCUCAGAGAUGGGUGUGCCUCUUUUGGGGUCGGUUCACAGGUGGUGCAUGGCUGUCGUCAGCUCGUGUCGUGAGAUGUUGGGUUAAGUCCCGCAACGAGCGCAACCCUUGUUCACUGUUGCCAGCACGUUAUGGUGGGGACUCAGUGGAGACCGCCGGGGUCAACUCGGAGGAAGGUGGGGAUGACGUCAAGUCAUCAUGCCCCUUAUGUCCAGGGCUUCACGCAUGCUACAAUGGCUGGUACAGAGAGUGGCGAGCCUGUGAGGGUGAGCGAAUCUCGGAAAGCCGGUCUCAGUUCGGAUUGGGGUCUGCAACUCGACCUCAUGAAGUCGGAGUCGCUAGUAAUCGCAGAUCAGCAACGCUGCGGUGAAUACGUUCCCGGG
rnacentral:rRNA from 1 species